AUUGAACGCUGGCGGAAUGCUUUACACAUGCAAGUCGAACGGCAGCACGGGGGCAACCCUGGUGGCGAGUGGCGAACGGGUGAGUAAUACAUCGGAACGUGCCCGGUCGUGGGGGAUAACGUAGCGAAAGUUACGCUAAUACCGCAUACGAUCUGAGGAUGAAAGCGGGGGACCUUCGGGCCUCGCGCGAUCGGAGCGGCCGAUGUCAGAUUAGGUAGUUGGUGGGGUAACGGCCUACCAAGCCGACGAUCUGUAGCUGGUCUGAGAGGACGACCAGCCACACUGGGACUGAGACACGGCCCAGACUCCUACGGGAGGCAGCAGUGGGGAAUUUUGGACAAUGGGCGCAAGCCUGAUCCAGCCAUUCCGCGUGCAGGACGAAGGCCUUCGGGUUGUAAACUGCUUUUGUAUGGAACGAAAAGGCUCUGGCUAAUACCUGGGGCUCAUGACGGUACCGUAAGAAUAAGCACCGGCUAACUACGUG
rnacentral:rRNA from 1 species